UACGUAGGGGGCGAGCGUUGUCCAGAUUUAUUGGGCGUAAAGAGCUCGUAGGCGGUUUGGCAAGUCGGGUGUGAAAACUCCGGGCUCAACUCGGAGACGCCACUCGAUACUGCCAUGACUCGAGUCCGGUAGGGGAGUGCGGAAUUCCUGGUGUAGCGGUGAAAUGCGCAGAUAUCAGGAGGAACACCGGUGGCGAAGGCGGCACUCUGGGCCGGUACUGACGCUGAGGAGCGAAAGCGUGGGGAGCGAACAGG
rnacentral:rRNA from 1 species